rnacentral:rRNA from 1 species
CAGCCGCCACGGGAAUACGAAGGGGGCUAGCGUUGCUCGGAAUGACUGGGCGUAAAGGGCGCGUAGGCGGCGAUCAAAGUCAGGCGUGAAAUUCCUGGGCUCAACCUGGGGGCUGCGCUUGAUACUUGGUUGCUUGAGUGGGGAAGAGGGUCGUGGAAUUCCCAGUGUAGAGGUGAAAUUCGUAGAUAUUGGGAAGAACACCGGUGGCGAAGGCGGCGACCUGGUCCUUGACUGACGCUGAGGCGCGAAAGCGUGGGGAGCAAGCAGGAUUAGAUACCCCAGUAGUCCCUGUCUCUUAUAC